rnacentral:lncRNA from 1 species
AUGUUUCUCAGGAACGCUACUCCAGGGGUUGCUCCCCAGUCCAAAUGGGAGGCCUUUGGCCCACCAGGGAGCUUUAGGUUCCCCGGGUGCUUCUCGGAGGCUGACGAGGGGGUGGAGAGCGUGUCGGUGAGCGCCCGGGUGCAGAUGCUCAUCAGCACGCUGCAGCGCAGCGGGGUUGCUCGGGGCACCACCGAUGAGCGCGCUGCACAGAGGGGCCACAGGGCAGACGCCAAGCCAGCUGCCAAGCCCACCGUGCACAAGGAGCAGCCCGCAUUGCCUGCCUGUGGUCUUGUUGCUGACUUUGACCCCAUG